rnacentral:rRNA from 1 species
CAGUGUAUCGGAAUUACUGGGCGUAAAGCGUGCGUAGACGGUAGCGUAAGUCGGGUGUGAAAGCCCCGGGCUCAACCUGGGAAUUGCAUUCGAGACUGCUCUGCUAGGGUGCGGAAGAGGGGAGCGGAAUUUCCGGUGUAGCGGUGAAAUGCGUAGAUAUCGGGAGGAACACCAGCGGCGAAGGCGGCUUUCUGGACCAAUACUGACGCUGAGACGCGAAAGCGUGGGGAGCAAACAGG